rnacentral:rRNA from 1 species
GCAUAUCAAUAAGCGGAGGAAAAGAAACCAACAGGGAUUGCCCUAGUAACGGCGAGUGAAGCGGCAACAGCUCAAAUUUGAAAUCUGGCCCUCGGGUCCGAGUUGUAAUUUGUAGAGGAUGUUUUUGGCGCGGUGCCUUCCGAGUUCCCUGGAACGGGACGCCUUAGAGGGUGAGAGCCCCGUACGGUUGGACACCAAGCCUCUGUAUAACUCCUUCGACGAGUCGAGUAGUUUGGGAAUGCUGCUCUAAAUGGGAGGUAAAUUUCUUCUAAAGCUAAAUAUUGGCCAGAGACCGAUAGCGCACAAGUAGAGUGAUCGAAAGAUGAAAAGCACUUUGAAAAGAGGGUUAAAUAGCACGUGAAAUUGUUGAAAGGGAAGCGUUUGCGACCAGACCUUUUCCUGGCGGAUCAUCCGGUGUUCUCACCGGUGCACUUCGCCAGGUUUAGGCCAGCAUCGGUUUCUGCAGGGGGAUAAAAGCUUGGGGAACGUAGCUCCCUCGGGAGUGUUAUAGCCCCUCGCAUAAUACCCUUGCGGGGACCGAGGACCGCGCUUUUUGCAAGGAUGCUGGCGUAAUGGUCGUCAACGACCCGUCUUGAAACACGGACCAAGGAGUCGAACAUUUGUGCAAGUGUUUGGGUGUCAAACCCUCACGCGUAAUGAAAGUGAACGGAGGUGAGAGCCCUUACGGGUGCAUCAUCGACCGAUCCUGAUGUCUUCGGAUGGAUUUGAGUAAGAGCAUAACUGUUCGGACCCGAAAGAUGGUGAACUAUGCGUGGAUAGGGUGAAGCCAGAGGAAACUCUGGUGGAGGCUCGCAGCGGUUCUGACGUGUAAAUCCGAUCGUCAAAUCUGCGCAUGGGGGCGAAAGACUUAUCGAACCAUCUAGUAGCUGGUUAUCGCCGAAGU